GAAGAUUUAGUUAAAUUAUAACAUUAGAAUGUCAAACUAAAAUUAUUUAUUAUUUAAUCUUCU
rnacentral:tRNA from 1 species